UACGGAGGGUGCAAGCGUUUGUCCGGAAUCACUGGGCGUAAAGGGUGCGUAGGCGGGUCUUUUAAGUCAGGGGUGAAAUCCUGGAGCUCAACUCCAGAACUGCCUUUGAUACUGAAGAUCUUGAGUUCGGGAGAGGUGAGUGGAACUGCGAGUGUAGAGGUGAAAUUCGUAGAUAUUCGCAAGAACACCAGUGGCGAAGGCGCUCACUGGCCCGAUACUGACGCUGAGGAGCGAAAGCCAGGGGAGCAAAGCGGGG
rnacentral:rRNA from 1 species